AACCCUCAAAAAUCAUAACUGAGUGUGUAAAAAAGAACUGAAAUUUCAGUAAUCUCCUUAUGUGACUCUUGCCUACUAACAUUUGGGAUUCUCAGUGAAAGAAAGAGGACAGAGAAGAGUGCCAUAUGUUGGAUCACUUGGGGAACUAUUAUAAGACACAUAUAUAUGCCCAAUCAUUUUCUUAUAGUUCUUCCCCUUCCUUCCUGCAUAUUUUGAUUUAUUCUACCAAGGAUUUGAUUCUGGUUCCAGGAUUCAACUUCAUAAUAAAUACUAGUGGUGACUAAUUCCAAGGUCUCUUCAUAAGCUUUUAACAUAAAAUGCCCAUAUUCUAUAAGGCUAUGUAUCUACUGCUUACCUUCUCAGAUCUUACUUCGACUUUAUUUUUCCUCCAAAUAACGUCACUCAGCAAAUGUUUAUUAAAUACUUACCAUGAGUCAAGCAUCAUGCAUGGUACUGAGGGCAGAAUGGUGAAAAGGCAUAUAAAUUUGAAGGUGGCAGCCAAACUAAGUAGCUGGGACUAUAGGCCCCCACCACAAUGCCCAGUUAUUUUUUGGUUGUAGUUGUCAUUAUUGUUUACGGCAGGCCCAGGCUGGAUUUGAAUCCGCCAGCUCUGGUGUAUGUGGCUGGUGCCUUAGCUGCUUGAGUUACAGGCACCGAGCCUACUUGUAAUUAUUAAUUUAUACAUUCACUAUGUCAAAAACUGUUCCGAGUUACAACAAUAGUUUUAAUUUACUGAACAGUUAUGUGGACAUUGUAUUUGGUGCUUUACACAUUAUUUCUAAUCCAUAAUAAUGAUCCUGUCUUACAAGACAAAUGGUAUCCUUAUUUUACAGAUGAGAAAAGUGAGGGCCAAGGCUACAGAACUACUAAGGCUUAGAAAUGGAGUUAGAAUUCAAGUCUGUGAUCUAUUAUGCUACACAUUCAAAAUAUGUGUAUGUUUUUAUCACACAUAUUUUCCAUUCAAGUUUUUAUUUUUUUAUUUUCUAUUUAAAAAAAAAAUUCCGGGGGGGCACGCUCCGGUAACCUGUACCCCAUGUAGUUGCCGGUUACCGAUCGGACUAAGUUCCAGUUGGUGAUUUACAAAUCAAGUUAAAAUGUCCCUGGAAGUGGCCUUGAACAAAAUUUCUCCAAUGUUCUCCCCAUUUAUAUCUAGUGUGGUCUGGAAUGGAAAAGUGGGACUGGAUGUUACAAACUGUUUGAGGAUAACUGACUUGAAAUCUGGCUGCACAUCAUUGACUCCUGGACCCAAUUGUGAUCGAUUUAAAUUACACAUACCAUAUGCUGGAGAGACAUUAAAAUGGGAUAUCAUUUUCAAUGCCCAGUACCCAGAGCUGCCCCCUGAUUUUAUCUUUGGAGAAGAUGCUGAAUUCCUGCCAGACCCUGCGGCUCUGCAGAACCUUGCCUCCUGGAAUCCUUCAAAUCUUGAAUGUCUCUUACUUGUGGUGAAGGAACUUGUGCAACAGUAUCAUCAAUUUCAAUGUAGCCAUCUCCGGGAGAGCUCCCGCCUCAUGUUUGAUGUUUGAAUACCAAACAUUACUGGAAGAGCCACAAUAUGGAGAGAACAUGGAAAUAUAUGCUGGGAAAAAAAACAACUGGACUGGUGAAUUUUCAGCUCGUUUCCUUUUGAAGUUGCCAGUGGAUUUCAGCAAUAUUCCCACAUACCUGCUCAAGGAUGUAAAUGAAGACCCUGGAGAAGAUGUGGCCCUCCUUUCUGUCAGUUUUGAGGACACUGAAGCUACCCAAGUAUACCCCAAGCUGUACUUGUCACCCCGAAUUGAGCAUGCAUUUGGCGGCUCCUCAGCUCUUCAUAUCCCAGCUUUUCCAGGAGGAGGAUGUCUCAUUGAUUAUGUUCCUCAAGUGUGCCACCUGCUCACUAACAAGGUGUAGUAUGUGAUUCAGGGAUAUCACAAAAGAAGAGAGUAUAUUGCUGCUUUCUUCAGUCACUUUGGCACAUGUGUCGUGGAAUAUGAUGCAGAAGGCUUUACAAAACUCACUCUGCUGCUGAUGUGGAAAGAUUUUUGUUUUCUUGUACACAUUGACCUGCCCCUGUUUUUUCCUCGAGACCAGCCAACUCUCACAUUUCAAUCCAUCUAUCACUUUACCAACAGCGGACAACUUUACUCCCAGGCCCCCCAAAAUUAUCCAUACAGCCCCAGAUGGGAUGGAAAUGAAAUGGCCAAAAGAGCAAAGGCUUAUUUCAAAACCUUUGUCCCUCAGUUCUACAAGGCAGCUUUUGCCAAUGGAAAGCUCUAGGAAACACCAGUCUUGAGAGGUGGCCAGCCAGACUGCUUUGUCCACUUGCAUGUCAGCACACACGCUGCUUCCUGGAAGCCCCUUGGAACAUCCUCCUGGCAGCGCUUUGUUCACACAGCAGCUUUGCAUGGCCCAGACAGCUCAGACUGCCGUAGCCCCUCCUUGAGCUGGCUGACAGCACCAAAAUCAUAGAGCCCCUCACUUUUUUUCUUUCCUUUAUUAUAUUUCCUAAUUGAAAUAAAUAAUCUCAUAAAUCAUUAUGCAAAAAAAAAAAAAAAUUCCUCUUGGCAACAGAAUUUCCCUGUAAGAUCUGAUGCUCACUACUUCAUGAGCAUAUGUUGAAUCUAUGGAUUCAAAUUAUUCUAAUUACAGAUCUACCAAUCCAAUACCAAAAUAUUAGUUUUUUUCUACUUCUAUUUUUUCCCCUU